GACGAACCGUGCGAACGUUAUUCGGAAUCACUGGGCUUAAAGCGCGUGUAGGCGGGACGGCACGUCGGUCGCUGAAAUCCCCCGGCUUAACCGGGGAACUGGCGUCGAUACGACCGCCCUGGAGGGGCGUAGGGGGACCUGGAACUUCCGGUGGAGCGGUGAAAUGCGUAGAUAUCUGGAGGAACACCGGUGGCGAAAGCGGUUCACUGGCCCGACACUGACACUGAGGUGCGAAAGCUAGGGUAGCAAACGGG
rnacentral:rRNA from 1 species